rnacentral:misc_RNA from 1 species
AAUCAUCAACCUCCCCUAAUUUCUUUUGGUGGGAAGGCUUGGACUUUGGAGGCUUUUGCUGGUCUCUCUCUUUUUGAAGCCAGCUCCUCUUAAACGAAUUAGUGGGGUCCCUCUUCGCCGGUCCCUCGACGUGAUAAGACUUCUCUAACGUCCGAGGUUUGGCUUUGUAGGCCCGCUUCUAAUCAUACCUUUUGAACC